UAAAUACUCCCUCCGUCCGGAAUUACUUAUCACAUAAAUGAAUAAAAAUGGAUGUAUCUAUAACUAAAAUACAUCUAGAUACAUCCAUUCCUAUGAUAAGUAUUUUCGGACGGAGGG
rnacentral:pre_miRNA from 1 species